AGGGGUGUAGCUCAGUGGUAAAGCACAUUCUUUGCAUGUAUGAAGUACAGAGUUCAAUGCCCGGUACUCCCA
rnacentral:tRNA from 1 species